GAGCGGCUGGGGAGCUAGUGAAGCUUCAUCUGUUCUUACGGCCGCUUCCCCGUUGCUCACGUGACCACCAGAGCGCCACUCAGGUCAGAUUAGUGCCGGCGUUAGAUUCUCACAGGAGCACGAACUCUGCUGUGAACCCCGCAUGCAAGGGAUCUAGGCUGUGCGCUCUUUAUGAGAACCUGAUGCCUGAUGAUCUGUCGCCGCCGUCGCAUUGCAGGAAAACAAGGUCAGGGCUCCUACUGAUUCUACAUUAUGGUGAGGGGUAUAAUUACUUCCUUAUAUAUUACAACGUAAUAAUAAUAGAAAUAAAGUGCACAAUAAAUGAAAUGCCCUUGAAUCAUCCUGAAACCACCCCCACCCCCAUCCCCCACCAUCUGGAAAAUUUGCCUUCCUCCAAACCAGUCCCUGGUGCUAGAAAUGUUGGGGAGCGCCGCUUUAAGAGCCUCACAAGAGAUCAGUCUUGAAGACGCAGUUGGGGUCACGUGACCCGAGUCCGCCCAUCACAGGGCUGGCCCCGGGUGCCAUUUUGAGAGCGUGCUCCUUCCUUAACUCCUCCUGGUGGGGCUAGAAUUUGGUGGAUUGGGUGUUUAUUUGAUGAGGUCGCAGCAUUUGGGUCUAAUUUAAAACUUAGGAUGUUCUUUAAAUGUUUCAUUUCUUCUUUGGUUCAUUUCCAUGAUGCUAUGCCACCAAAGGGGAGCCUCUAAGGGAUUUUCCUUCCAAAAUGUUGUAUUUUGCUGGAAUUUUGCAAUUUCUUUGUUAAAGAAUCCACCCACUCUUCCAUUGCUCUGCAUUCUUUCUGAAAGGACGUAUACCUUGUGCGUCCAGUGAGACCUGAAUCAUUGUUAAAGUUGGCCAGAGACCAACAGCCUCAGGGGUACUGAGGAUAAUAACGAUCUAGAAUCAUCUCUUCUUCUUCUUCUUUUUUUUUUUGGAGACAGGGUCUCACUCUGUUGCCCAGGCUGGAGUGCAGGGUCAUGAUCAGGGCUCACUGCAGCCUCUACCUCCUCGGCUCAAGCAAUCCUACUUCAGCCUCCCGAGUAUCUGGGACCACAGGUGCACACCACUAUGCCUGGCUAAUUUUUUAAAAAUAUUUUUUGUAGAGACCAGGUCUCACCAUGUUGUCCAGGCUGGUCUCAAACUCCUGGGCUCAAGUGAUCCUCCCACCUGGGCCUCCCAAAGUGCUGGGAUCACAGGCAUGAUUCCACCAUGCCCAGUCUAGAAUCACCUUAAUAUAAAUUCAGGGCUUCAGAUUUUCGGAGCUGUCCAGAUGAUGAAAAGCUAAGAUUAUUCUAUUUCCUUCCGUGUAGCCCUUUGGGUCCUAGCCUAAAGUGGGAUAGGGUUUACAGGUUCCCAUCUGUGAUCUUGUGAAAUAUAUAUUUGGUCUUUUCCUGGCACACAACUCUUAAAAUUCUUGGAAUUUUCAAAGUGAUGAGUGUCUUUUGUAGCUAAUGAAUUCACUGAUGGCUGACAGCCCCUAUGUAGCUUCAGGAUGGUGGCUGGUCACAAGAAAGACCAAAGCAGGAUUAUAUGAUUAGGACUUUCAUCUUGUCCCCCACCAACCUCUGGGGAAGAGAGAGGGGCUGAAGGUUAAAUGGCCAAUGACCAAUAAUUUAAUCAAUCAUGCCUAUGUAAUAAAGCUUCCAUAAAAACCCAAAAGGGAACUACUACUCAGCCAUAAAAAGGAAUGAAUUAAUGGCAUUCGCAGUGACUUGGAUGAGUUUGGAGAAAAUUAUUCUAAGUGAAGUCACUCAGGAAUGGAAAACCAAACAUCGUAUAUUCUCACUGAUAUGUGGCAGCUAAGCUAUGAGGACACAAAGGCAUAAGAAUGAUACAAUGGACUUUGGGGACCUGGGGGGAUGGGUGGGGGGGGGGGCGUGGGAUAAAAGACUGCAAAUAGGGUGCAGUGUAUACUGCUUGGGUGAUGGGUACACCAAAAUCUCACAAAUCACCACUAAAGAACCUACUCAUGUAACCAAACACCACCUGUUCCCCAAUAACCUAUGGAAAAAUAUAAAAUAAAUUAAAAAAUUAAACAACCCAAAA